rnacentral:rRNA from 1 species
CCCAGACUCCUACGGGAGGCAGCAGUGGGGGAUAUUGCACAAUGGGGGGAACCCUGAUGCAGCGACGCCGCGUGGGUGAAGGAGCGUUUCGGCGCGUAAAGCCCUAUCGGCAGGGAAGAAGGAGGACGGUACCUGACUAAGAAGCCCCGGCUAACUACGUGCCAGCAGCCGCGGUAAUACGUAGGGGGCAAGCGUUAUCCGGAUUUACUGGGUGUAAAGGGGGCGCAGACGGCAGCGCAAGCCAGGAGUGAAAGCCCGGGGCCCAACCCCGGGACUGCUCUUGGAACUGCGCGGCUGGAGUGCAGGAGGGGCAGGCGGAAUUCCUGGUGUAGCGGUGAAAUGCGUAGAUAUCAGGAGGAACACCGGUGGCGAAGGCGGCCUUCUGGACUGCAACUGACGUUGGGGCCCGAAAGCGUGGGGAGCAAACAGGAUUAGAUACCCCGGUA